GAAUAUUGGACAAUGGGGGGAACCCUGAUCCAGCCAUGCCGCGCUUGUGUAGAAGGCCUUUUGGUUGUAAAGCACUUUAAGCGAGUAGGAGGAACCCUUGGUUAACACCCAAGCUGCUUGCACGUUACUCGCUGAAUAAGCAACGGCUAUCUCUGUGCCAGUAGGCGCGGUAAUACAUGGGGUGCAAGCGUUAAUAGGAUUUACUGGGCGUAAAGCGCGCCUAGGUGGCCAAUUAAGUCAAAUGUGAAAUCCCCGAGCUUAACUUGGGAAUUGCAUUCGAUACUGGUUGGCUAGAGUAUGGGAGAGGAUGGUAGAAUUCCAGGUGUAGCGGUGAAAUGCGUAGAGAUCUGGAGGAAUACCGAUGGCGAAGGCAGCCAUCUGGCCUAAUACUGACACUGAGGUGCGAAAGCAUGGGGAGCAAACA
rnacentral:rRNA from 1 species